rnacentral:rRNA from 1 species
CAAAAACAUCGCCUCCCGCAAACAACGUAUAGGAGGUCUUACCUGCCCAGUGACGUUAAAUGGCCGCGGUAUUUUAACCGUGCAAAGGUAGCGCAAUCACUUGUCUUUUAAAUGAAGACUUGUAUGAAUGGUGAAACGAGGGCUUAACUGUCUCCCCCCUCUAGUCAAUGAAAUUGAUCUACCCGUGCAGAAGCGGGUAUAAUAAUACAAGACGAGAAGACCCUUUGGAGCUUAAGCUAAAAAAUCAACUAUGUUAACUGAUUUUAAUCUUCGGUUGGGGUGACCACGGGAGAAAAUAAAGCUCCCACGCAGACAAGGAUCCUAAACUAAGAGAGACAUCUCUAAGGCACAGAAUAUCUGACCGAUCCAGCUAAAUGCUGACCAACGGACCAAGUUACCCUAGGGAUAACAGCGCAAUCCCCUUCCAGAGUCCAUAUCGACAAGGGGGUUUACGACCUCGAUGUUGGAUCAGGACAUCCUAAUGGUGCAGCCGCUAUUAAGGGUUC